AUCAGCGCCUCCUCAGUCAUCCCUGGACUCCAGCCACGACUGUGUCCUUGACUGUGGUUAUCAGCAUUCUGAAGAAAUGCAAGCUCAAAGAAGACUCAAAGACAUUGAGGGAGCCAUGUCUGCUGCUUGAUGGAGGAUUUCCUGAUGCCAGGUCCUCUCACUGGUUCUAUUCAUCUCCUCAGCAAUCAGCUUAUAUUCUGGACUGUAGUAUGGGGACCAUCCUCUGCCUUAUUUAUGUCUGACCCAGUACAGAACUGCUGA
rnacentral:lncRNA from 1 species